GAUGAACGCUGGCGGCAGGCCUAACACAUGCAAGUUGAGCGGGGUUUUCGGUACCUAGCGGCGGACGGGUGGAGUAAUGCGUAGGAAGCUACCCGACAGAGGGGAUACCAGUUGGAAACGACUGUUAAUACCGCAUAAUGUCUACGGACCAAAGUGUGGGACCUUCGGGCCACAUGCUAUCGGAUGCGCCUACGUGGGAUUAGCUAGUUGGUGAGGUAAUGGCUCACCAAGGCGACGAUCUCUAGCUGGUUUGAGAGGAUGAUCAGCCACACUGGAACUGAGACACGGUCCAGACUCCUACGGGAGGCAGCAGUGGGGAAUUUUGGACAAUGGACGCAAGUCUGAUCCAGCCAUUCCGCGUGCAGGAUGAAGGCCCUCGGGUUGUAAACUGCUUUUGUACGGAACGAAAAGGUUUCUAUUAAUACUAGGAGCUCAUGACGGUACCGUAAGAAUAAGCACCGGCUAAUACGUGCCAGCAGCCGCGGUAAAGUGACUACUG
rnacentral:rRNA from 1 species